GCCGAAGUGGUGGAAUGGCAGACACGGUAGACUCAAAAUCUACUGCCUUCACGGGCGUGCCGGUUCAAGUCCGGCCUUCGGUACCA
rnacentral:tRNA from 1 species